GAUGAACGCUAGCGAUAGGCUUAACACAUGCAAGUCGAGGGGCAGCAUGGUCUUAGCUUGCUAAGACUGAUGGCGACCGGCGCACGGGUGCGUAACGCGUAUGCAACUUGCCUCACAGAGGGGGAUAACCCGUCGAAAGACGGACUAAUACCGCGUACACUCUAUUUUGGGCAUCCAAGGUAGAGGAAAUGAAAUUCGCUGUGAGAUGGGCAUGCGUCCCAUUAGCUAGUUGGUGAGGUAACGGCUCACCAAGGCGACGAUGGGUAGGGGAACUGAGAGGUUGAACCCCCACACUGGUACUGAGACACGGACCAGACUCCUACGGGAGGCAGCAGUGAGGAAUAGUGAUCAAUGGGCGAGAGCCUGAACCAGCCAAGUCGCGUGAAGGAUGACUGUCUUAUGGAUUGUAAACUUCUUUUGUAGGGGAAUAAAGAGGGGCACGUGUGCCCCAGUGAAUGUACCCUACGAAUAAGCAUCGGCUAACUCCGUG
rnacentral:rRNA from 1 species